CUCUCUCUAUCCAUCUCCUUUUAGAACCGUCGACCGAUUAUCUAUUAUUAUCGUGAUGAUUGUGUUUGUGUUCAAGGAGAAAACAAUUAUUGCGUCUCGAGACUAGUUUCGAUAAAAAUAGAUUGGGGGGGGCGAUGUUAUACGUGUACAGCGACGUUACGAACCCCGAUUUUUAAGGCCGGACUGAACUUUCGUUUACAUCGACGGAUCGUGCGUGCAAUGUUAUUUCGUCUGGACCCGAACCGAACUUAUUUCGCGAACGACGGGGUUUUAAAACGUAAAACGUCGCAUUGUCCGAGGCGUCGCUGUACGAUAAAAUAACACCCGCCGUAAAAAUAAACCGAAACGGAUUCCGUUCGGUUCACUCCGCAUCAAAAUACUAACGUCACCGGUCCGCAUCUCGAACCGAACUCAACGCUCUACAGUUCGGUUCGAUAAUCGGAGAUUUUUUUUCAAUUUAUUCGACGAUCGAACGGCCCGUAACAUCGCUAUAAUAUUAUUAUAGUGACGCGCGUCAAUGCAUAGGCGCCUAAUGUUAUUGUACGGCGACCGUCUGAUCGUAGCGACAUAAUAAAUCUCGCGUCGACGUUGGCCAACGGAACGUUUUUUUUUUUUUUUUUUUUUUUUCCAAACACUGUCAGAUAGGUACGAUUAUUGACAACAAGUCUUGUAUAGAGUUGUCUGUGUAGGUAUCGCGAUACGACCUUAGAAAGUUACCGUUUAGCGGUUAAAACGGGACGAAUGUUACGUUACGAAUAACAAUUAUUAUUAUGGUUAGGUAGGUACUUUUGGUUUUUCGGGGUUAUUUUUUUUUUUUUUUUUUUCCAAGUCCGACGUUCCUGCAGGUACGACCGAUUACAUUCCACGAUAAUAUCUAUUGAGAGCGAAUGCGUUUUUCGUUUAAAGUACCGAAUUUAAUCGGCACACCAGAAUAUUAUUUUCUCAACGACAUUGAAAUAAAAACAUAUAGACGCUGUAUAUCGUCGACACAACAUUAUUUUAAUCGUGCAAGUUCAAUAAUUACGUUGUACACGAUUAGGCGUUUGCGUGUAGGCAUUAGAUUUUUCAACAAUACAAUUUUUUUAACGUUUUAAUAGCUUUCGUCGGACAACGAAUUGCGGAACGUCGUCGGCAGACAUUUUCACUAUACUGCAAUGACCCAGCGAACAGCCAAAUCGCAUAUUCGUCUUGUUCUCCGCGUCAUUCUACGCCAUUGUCUAAUGCUAAAGCACUUUUUCUCACUCCGCUAUGAUAAUAAACCUACCGUCAUACACACAUAUAUCCCCCGAUAAUCUCUAGUCACAUUUUGUACGAUACGACGACGC